CUUAAUUUAUUCUAAAAAAUUUGUAUCAAAGACGGUGAUAGAAUAUCAUUUUUUAUUCCCACCUCUUAUUCUCGGGAAUCAAACGGACCAUAAAGGCUUUAAAGGAAUCUCCAUUCUCUUCUUUUCAUUCCUCUGGUUUAAUCUUUAUGGUGGCUGCCUCAUUUCUCUCUAAACAUCAUAAACAAACCAACAAGGGCUGUUUCUUCACAAUCUUCCUCUUCCAUUGACAUUAAGAACUGGUGGUUCAUCGACUGAAAGAGAAAAAUUUUCUGCCGCUCUUAGUUUCAUUGAUGUGACUCUGGCUCUUUCUCCUUGCCUUGAACUCAAAGCUUGGGCUCUCCUCUGACUUCGUCGCAUUAAGAUGUUGUCUAUAUGCUUCGAGAUUUAUUUCUAGUUUCAAGAUCGCCGGCGAGGAUUCCGCCGGCUUCGAUGGGUCCUCACACCAACUCUCCAGAGACCGAGUUAAGCUUUGUGGAUCGUCUGAGUCGCACGGAUGCGACUUGUCGUUGGGAAAAUUGUUAAGAGAGUUGGGAAAUUUUUUAGAGAUUUCAAACAACCUUAGAUCUAAAGCUCAUUCUUCUUCGUCGUUUACCUGCGAUGGUCAUCGUCGUUUCCACUGGGCGGCCACUGCAACAAUCAGAAAUUCGCCGGAGGAGGUAGAAGAAGAUGGAGACGAUGAAAAGAAAAGAGAGUCCACGUCAUUAAAGAAACUAAUAUUAAAUUAAUAAAAUUUUCCACAUAAACCAAUUCAUCA